AGAGUUUGAUCCUGGCUCAGGACGAACGCUGGCGGUGUGCUUAACACAUGCAAGUCGAACGGUAAGGCCCUUUCGGGGGUACACGAGUGGCGAACGGGUGAGUAACACGUGAGUAACCUGCCCUCAUCUCUGGGAUAACAGUCGGAAACGGUUGCUAAUACUGGAUAUGAGCUUGCAAGGCAUCUUGUGGGUUGGAAAGAUAUUUUUUGGUUGGGGAUGGACUCGCGGCCUAUCAGCUUGUUGGUGAGGUAGUGGCUCACCAAGGCUUCGACGGGUAGCCGGCCUGAGAGGGCGACCGGCCACAUUGGGACUGAGAUACGGCCCAAACUCCUACGGGAGGCAGCAGUGGGGAAUAUUGCACAAUGGACGGAAGUCUGAUGCAGCAACGCCGCGUGCGGGAUGACGGCCUUCGGGUUGUAAACCGCUUUCAAUUGUGACGAAGCUUUUUGUGACGGUAGCAGUAGAAGAAGCACCGGCUAACUACGUGCCAGCAGCCGCGGUGAUACGUAGGGUGCGAGCGUUGUCCGGAUUUAUUGGGCGUAAAGAGCUUGUAGGCGGUUUGUCGCGUCGGGAGUGAAAACUCGGGGCUUAACUCCGAGCUUGCUUUCGAUACGGGCUGACUUGAGGGAGGUAGGGGAGAAUGGAAUUCCUGGUGGAGCGGUGGAAUGCGCAGAUAUCAGGAGGAACACCGGUGGCGAAGGCGGUUCUCUGGACCUUUCCUGACGCUGAGAAGCGAAAGCGUGGGGAGCGAACAGGCUUAGAUACCCUGGUAGUCCACGCCGUAAACGGUGGGUACUAGGUGUGGGGGACAUUCCACGUUCUCCGUGCCGUAGCUAACGCAUUAAGUACCCCGCCUGGGGAGUACGGCCGCAAGGCUAAAACUCAAAGGAAUUGACGGGGACCCGCACAAGCGGCGGAGCAUGUGGAUUAAUUCGAUGCAACGCGAAGAACCUUACCUGGGUUUGACAUGCACCAGACGGUUGUAGAGAUACGUACCUCCCUUUGUGGUUGGUGUGCAGGUGGUGCAUGGUUGUCGUCAGCUCGUGUCGUGAGAUGUUGGGUUAAGUCCC
rnacentral:rRNA from 1 species